UGGGGAAUUUUGGACAAUGGGCGAAAGCCUGAUCCAGCAAUGCCGCGUGCAGGAUGAAGGCCUUCGGGUUGUAAACUGCUUUUGUACGGAACGAAAAGCUUCGGGUUAAUACCCUGGAGUCAUGACGGUACCGUAAGAAUAAGCACCGGCUAACUACGUGCCAGCAGCCGCGGUAAUACGUAGGGUGCAAGCGUUAAUCGGAAUUACUGGGCGUAAAGCGUGCGCAGGCGGUCUUGUAAGACAGAGGUGAAAUCCCCGGGCUCAACCUGGGAACUGCCUUUGUGACUGCAAGGCUGGAGUGCGGCAGAGGGGGAUGGAAUUCCGCGUGUAGCAGUGAAAUGCGUAGAUAUGCGGAGGAACACCGAUGGCGAAGGCAAUCCCCUGGGCCUGCACUGACGCUCAUGCACGAAAGCGUGGGGAGCAAACAGG
rnacentral:rRNA from 1 species